rnacentral:rRNA from 1 species
UACGAAGGGGGCUAGCGUUGUUCGGAAUUACUGGGCGUAAAGGGCGCGUAGGCGGUACUUCAAGUCAGGCGUGAAAUCCCCGGGCUCAACCUGGGAACUGCAUUUGUGACUGCAUCGCUGGAGUGCGGCAGAGGGGGAUGGAAUUCCGCGUGUAGCAGUGAAAUGCGUAGAUAUGCGGAGGAACACCGAUGGCGAAGGCAAUCCCCUGGGCCUGCACUGACGCUCAUGCACGAAAGCGUGGGGAGCAAACAGG